AUUUUACUGAAAAUUCCACUGCAGCCCGAGCGUUAUUAGUUAGUAAUUGUCUAAAAUUAAGUAGUACGUAACAUGUUCGUUGUUAAUCAUAAACAAGGCCAACAUAUAUAACCCAUAAAAUUAGAAGUCUGUAAAUUAAUUAAUGCUGUAAAAUUAAAUGCGAGAAACCUUGAUUUGAAUUACUAAUCUUAUCAAGAGUUGUCCUCGUUCCAAGGCUACAAUGCUGCAACUUCUUCCAACCGCACUAACACAUUCCAAAAUUAUCAUUUUACGUGUCAAGCAAUGGAUGGAAUGCAAACAACUAUAAAAUCUCCUGGAAAACACAAGAUUUGCAUCACUGAAGUUGAAGAUUAUUUAUUUGAUCAGCCAAAGAAUUAUACUAGUUUUUGAGUUCCAAAAGAAAUAAGAAGAUGAACCAAUCUCAGGAUGCUAGCUUCCAGGCCGGCCAGGCCAAGGGCCAAACUCAGGAAAAGGCAAACCAGACGUUGGACAAGGCCAGCAAUACUGUCCAGUCUGCCAAGGAAUCGUGCCAAGAGUCUGGUAAUCAAAUGAUGGCCAAGGCACAGGAGGCUGCUGAUGCUGUCAAGGACAAAGUUGGAUCAAACAAUUGAAUUGAAAGA
rnacentral:misc_RNA from 1 species